AUUCGAAACAGGGCGCUUCGCGGGUGAGAAAUACCCUUUGAACCUGAUCUGGAUAAUGCCAGCGCAGGGAAGCGUACAGGCCUCGAC
rnacentral:ncRNA from 1 species